CUAUAGAUAAUGGAUAUAUUUUUAAAACGUAUGUAAUAUGUAGGUAUGGUCAUAGAUAAUAUUUGUAAGUCGACUCAUUGUUAAUCCAUCUUUGUGUUGAUAACACGUAUUUUUUGGAAAAUUUUAGUUUUUGUUGAAACCACAAUGAGUAUUCAGAUCAACGACGGAGGCAUAACCGUAGUAGAUGAUAAUGGAGGCGGUGUCCAAAUAGCUGAUGGUGAUGACUCCAGGCUCAACAUCGUAGACGACAACGGUGGUGGAGUUCAGAUCGCUGAUGGCCAUUCUGGGGUCCAAUUCACUGAUGGAGACCAUUCUGGGGUCCAAUUUACUGAUGGCGAUCAGACCGCUGUGCAGUUUUCUGAUGGAGAUCAGACUAGUGUGCAGUUUGCCGACUGAUUUUUCUGGCGUCAACUCUUCAAAACUAGCUCAAUUAUGGUUUAAUUAAAUAAUAAUACCUAUGUCUAUUAUUAUUAAAAUAAACAUGGAUGGAAAUUAA